UACGUAGGGUGCGAGCGUUAAUCGGAAUUACUGGGCGUAAAGCGUGCGCAGGCGGUCCGCAAAGUCUGAUGUGAAAGCCCCGGGCUCAACCUGGGAACUGCAUUGGAAACUAACGGGCUCGAGUGUGGCAGAGGGGGGUGGAAUUCCACGUGUAGCAGUGAAAUGCGCAGAUAUCAGGAGGAACACCAAUGGCGAAGGCAGCACUCUGGGACGUGACUGACGCUGAGACGCGAAAGCGUGGGGAGCAAACAGG
rnacentral:rRNA from 1 species